rnacentral:rRNA from 1 species
CUUCGGUAAUGACGUUGGGAAAGCGAGCGGCGGAUGGGUGAGUAACACGUGGGGAACCUGCCCCUAAGUCUGGGAUACCAUUUGGAAACAGGUGCUAAUACCGGAUAAUAAAGCAGAUCGCAUGAUCAGCUUUUGAAAGGCGGCGUAAGCUGUCGCUAAGGGAUGGCCCCGCGGUGCAUUAGCUAGUUGGUAAGGUAACGGCUUACCAAGGCGACGAUGCAUAGCCGAGUUGAGAGACUGAUCGGCCACAUUGGGACUGAGACACGGCCCAAACUCCUACGGGAGGCAGCAGUAGGGAAUCUUCCACAAUGGACGCAAGUCUGAUGGAGCAACGCCGCGUGAGUGAAGAAGGUUUUCGGAUCGUAAAGCUCUGUUGUUGGUGAAGAAGGAUAGAGGUAGUAACUGGCCUUUAUUUGACGGUAAUCAACCAGAAAGUCACGGCUAACUACGUGCCAGCAGCCGCGGUAAUACGUAGGUGGCAAGCGUUGUCCGGAUUUAUUGGGCGUAAAGCGAGCGCAGGCGGAAAAAUAAGUCUAAUGUGAAAGCCCUCGGCUUAACCGAGGAACUGCAUCGGAAACUGUUUUUCUUGAGUGCAGAAGAGGAGAGUGGAACUCCAUGUGUAGCGGUGGAAUGCGUAGAUAUAUGGAAGAACACCAGUGGCGAAGGCGGCUCUCUGGUCUGCAACUGACGCUGAGGCUCGAAAGCAUGGGUAGCGAACAGGAUUAGAUACCCUGGUAGUCCAUGCCGUAAACGAUGAGUGCUAAGUGUUGGGAGGUUUCCGCCUCUCAGUGCUGCAGCUAACGCAUUAAGCACUCCGCCUGGGGAGUACGACCGCAAGGUUGAAACUCAA